GUUGCUGGGGGUUUGACUGUGGGACUGGUCCUCACCAUCAUCAUUUUAAAGGUUGUUCCACGCUGCUGCCGAAGACAGAGGGGUCCUGUGUCCAACUCCUCUGGUGCAGAGCAUGGCCUGGCUGAAAGAAACACCAGUGAGCACCAGCACCAGUCUGAUGGCGGUGAGGAAGGUCUCUGAUUGGGCGAUAAAUCACCUUUCUCUGUUGUAUAUUUAACCAU